UCUUAUGGAUAAGCAAAGAAAGUGUUUUCUUGAGAUAAAAUCUACUCUUGAUGAUGAUGCUGUGGA
rnacentral:pre_miRNA from 1 species